UCUAACUAUUAAAUAUGACUGUAACAAGGGAACUCACACCGCAAAACAUUCUUCUUGACUUCCAACCAGGGUUUCUCCCAAAGAGAUGCCCCUGUACCAUCUGCUCCAGAAAAGCGCAAAUCCAUUCCAUUAAUCAUGGACGUCUCAGAGUUUUCUUUCCUAACCCUGAAGUUCCUGGUUCAAAGUUUCUAAAGUGGACCAACUUAGUAGAGAAAUAAAACAGUUGCUAUAUUUACAAACACAGUAUCAAGCACAAUUCCUGAAACAAAGUGAACUCUCCAGAAACAUUCACUGAAUGAAUGAUGGCACGCCUUAACUAAUAACAAUGUAUAGGGAUCUUAUUUGUUCAUUUUCUUCAUGUUUUUCAUCAGGCUCUGUACCAACAUAUACAGAAAUUCUCUCUUAUUUCUCACUCUCUCUUAAAAGGACCACAUUAGCCUUAAGCCUCCUGACAUUCCUGGGCUAUCAUCGGAAUUUCAUGCACAACCCAAGCCAGGCCUUGAUCUUGCCAAAAAUCUCUGGUGAUUUAUUCAGUCUGCAUAUUGGACAAGUCCAGUUCUACAAGUCAUUUAGAUCCAGUCCUAAAUGCCUUUAACUGGGAUCAAUUUUAUUUUUAGUAGUUGAAUAUAAACUUUAAACCACAGUGAAUGCAGUAAACCAAAUGAAUGCAGUAAAAACUUGGUGGCUUCCAAAUUUAUUUUGAGAAUUGUAACAUAAAAGCCAACAUAGAAAAUUAAAGCUUUCAAAUAAUCUCAGAAACAGUACCUGCUAAGGAUGGUUUCCAAAGGUUAGCUGGAAAGUUUUAUCAGGUUCAUCUAUAUAACUACAAGAUUCUUCAUCUUAAUUCUCUCAUAAUCUGUCUGAUAACCAAUGUACUAGAAUGACAGACAACAACAUAAGGAAAAGGUAGAGCUGAAUAGUCAAUGGAAAUGCUUUAGCAGUCUUGGCCAGCACAGUCCAAAGGGAGCAAUGAAGGUUCCUGAUGCAUGACGAACUCAAGCUCCUUCUGGUCGGUCCCUUGCCUUAUUCACUGUUUGAGCAUUUAUUUAACCUUGAAGAGACAAGUCAUAUAUUGGGAACUGUCCAGUUUUUUCCAGAGGUGUGGAGACACUAAAAACAUUCAGUACUUUGAAAGCACCAACAUUCCAAAUAUGAACUAUGUUGCACUGUGCUCUGGCCUAGGCAGGCUCAGGAGUGCUUGCUGAGUCACUUCUGAAUGAAAGGGAUAAAAACUAUGCCCCCAUCAUUUGAUACAAUUUUAGGUUAGAUUAAGAAGUCAUUCAUUCAGAUUUGGCUUAGUUCACUCAAAUGUGUUUCUACCUUGGUCUCUACUUUCAAUUUCUAAGCAUUCUCUCCAAAUUAGGCAGGAGCUUUGCUCCUCCUCACAUCAACCACCACCAUAAUAAACCAGGAUCUUCACAACUUAGAAUUGGUUUAGGGCUCCUGACCCCAAAUCUCAAUCUUUCUUGAGGUUUGAAUCAUGCCUUUGUCUUAUAUUUAGAAUCCAAUGUCUUGUUCACUGUCUGGAACAUUGGAAUUAGCUGGGUCAGUUUCUUCCUCACCACAUUCCCCUCCUUCCCCCCACUACACAAAAAAGACCAGAGUAAGUUGCUUGUUACGUAGUUGUUCAGUGGGAAAUAUGUUUUACAAAUGAGGGGAGGAAAAGAGGAGGGAAAGCGGGUAAGUAGGUAGUAGUAGAACAGAAAGGGAAAUUUGGGGAGCAGAAGAGAGCAAAAGAAGAAAAGGGAAACUUCUAGAUUCCUGAUAAUAGAAAAGCUAGAGAAUUUCAUUCCUGAAAAUUAAAGAUAUUUUACACGUUUGUGCAUGUAUGUGGCUUUGUGUUUAUACACAUACCGUUUUGUUUCAUGUAGCAUAAUCAAAUCUAUUGCUAAUUGUUUAGUUAAUAUUUACUUAUUCAAACAUGUUUUUAACAUCUUGCCCAAUAUUCAAUCUACAUUUUACUUAGCAAUUAGCUUCUCUGGCAACUUGCUGUUUUGUUUUCUUUUUUUAACAAAAACGAAUACUGAUGUUCUAACAGAACAGUCUUACUGCCCCCUUUGGCUAUUGUCGUUUCUCUUGCUUCCCCAAAGGCAAAAGCUCUGCUAUUUUGCUUGCAAACACAAGACUGAUAUUUCAUUGUUGUUACAAAAGGGUCAAGAUUUUUAAAAGCACCACCCUUUAAAGUUCUUUCAUGGAGAUCUCAGAAAUGAACAGCAGUCUCACAGAAAUUGCAGAACAGAAGCAGAGGAGAGAAAUACAAAUGGGCCAGCUAACAUUAUCAGUCAUGUCACCCAGACUGUUACUCUUCUGAAUGAAAUAAAUUGGCAAGAAGGGAAAGAAAUGUCUGUGGAACAUGCCACGGGAUGAGGCACAAUCUAGAGUUAGGACCUCCCUUUGCUUUUACUGUAAGCAUGCCAUUGGUCAAGAUCAGCUAAAUAAACUGCUCUGCAAUUUCCAUGCAUUCUUUAACCAUAAUAUGAUUACCUUUAACAAUCUUUUUGUGAAAUCCAGGCAAAUAUCCAAGCCUACUUAUUUUAUUUUCCAGUUUUGUAACUAUUUACCAACCUCACAUACUAAUCCAACAAUGAUUGUAGUUAUAUCAGGCAUCUAGUGUAUUCAUUCAACAAAUAUUUAUGUAAGGAACAUUUCCUGCUAUCUCACUAGAUUGUAAAAACUUUUGUCACUAGAUCUAGUAAAGAAAUAGAACAGAUUUAGAAAUGAAAUUCCAUGGAAGCAAAAGAGCAAGCACACUAUAUUGGAAAAUGUGAGAUGUUUGGGGUAGAUGAAAUACAGUGUCUAAAGCUAAAUAGGGAGGGGUUGUGGCCACAGUGUAGGCUGUAGCUGGAGGUAUGGAUGAAGGGGACAGGUCAAACUGUGAAGUCCCUAAUAUGCUGUGCUCAAAAACUGCAUUUGAUCAUAUUGGAAAUUGAACACCAUUGUGGGCCUUUAAAGGUGGGAACAGCAUAAUGACAUUGUAUUUUAGACAGAAAGAACUGAUGCCAGUGGGAGAGGCUGAUGGCAAAUAAGAGAUGCCAACAAUCUGGGGCUGUUGUGAUGGCCCAGCAGAGAGACACAGAUGGCUCGAAUGGAAGCAGCAGAAGUGAAAUCGAGAAGAGAACAUAUUUGAGAGAAGUUUAGAAAGGAGAAUGACUGAUUAACUCUUCGUGGUAUUAUGAUUGCUCUCCUCCCGCAGGAACCAGUCAUAACCAAUUUCAAAGCCUUUGGCUUGGAAUGUCCUAAACACAUUGCACAAAGCUACUCUGCAUGGUUAUCUUUAAUCACGUCACAUAGGAACCAAUUAUGAUGUAGAAUGUUGCCACUCAAAGUGUGAUCUUUGGAGAAAAGCAUUAUCACCUACUGGAAACCUGUGAGAAAUGCAGAAUCUCCAUCCCCACCCCAGAAAUGCUGAAUCGGAUUCUGCGUUUAAUCAAGGACCUCAGAAAGGAAAUGAGAUCAACCAGAUAACCUUCUUGGAUUCCUUCAAGUGUUGACUCCACAGUACCUUAUUUUCAAGGUCAAGCAAGUGCCCAAAUGUGACCGACGCUGCCAUUCACAGUAAAAGGCCAAACAAGAUGGCCAGGCCCUUUGCCCUCAUUAAGAAUGUAAUCUAGAGCUGUAGUCCUCAAGCAUUUAUCAUCACAUACCCAUCAAUAAAAUUUGUUGAGUGUGCACCUCCAA